AGUGAACGCUGGCGGUAGGCCUAACACAUGCAAGUCGAACGGCAGCACAGUAAGAGCUUGCUCUUACGGGUGGCGAGUGGCGGACGGGUGAGGAAUACAUCGGAAUCUACUUUUUCGUGGGAGAUAACGUAGGGAAACUUACGCUAAUACCGCAUACGACCUACGGGUGAAAGCAGGGGAUCUUCGGACCUUGCGCGAUUGAAUGAGCCGAUGUCGGAUUAGCUAGUUGGCGGGGUAAAGGCCCACCAAGGCGACGAUCCGUAGCUGGUCUGAGAGGAUGAUCAGCCACACUGGAACUGAGACACGGUCCAGACUCCUACGGGAGGCAGCAGUGGGGAAUAUUGGACAAUGGGCGCAGGCCUGAUCCAGCCAUACCGCGUGGGUGAAGAAGGCCUUCGGGUUGUAAAGCCCUUUUGUUGGGAAAGAAAAGCAGCAGGUUAAUACCCCGCUGUUCUGACGGUACCCAAAGAAUAAGCACCGGCUAACUUCGUG
rnacentral:rRNA from 1 species